rnacentral:lncRNA from 1 species
AUCUGGUGUCCAGAGGACUGGAAUGAAUGAAUAUGGAUCUUUUCCCUUGGCCUUGAUAUUGGUUGUAUCAUGGAUGCUUGAAAGAUGGAUGGAGCUGAAGAAGUUUCUCCAGUCUUUGUGAAGAUCGUUUUAACAGUCCCGUCUCUUUGUUGGAUAAAAAGAGGGUCUGUAGCUUGAACAGGCUUAGUUUGGGAUGCCUGAAGCUUCUC